rnacentral:rRNA from 1 species
UACAGAGGUCCCAAGCGUUGUUCGGAUUCACUGGGCGUAAAGGGUGCGUAGGUGGUCGGGUAAGUCGGAUGUGAAAGCUCGGAGCUCAACUCCGAAAUGGCAUUGGAAACUACCUGGCUAGAGGAUUGGAGGGGGGACUGGAAUACUUGGUGUAGCAGUGAAAUGCGUAGAUAUCAAGUGGAACACCAGUGGCGAAGGCGAGUCCCUGGACAAUUGCUGACGCUCAGGCACGAAAGCGUGGGGAGCAAAAGGG